UAGGGAAUUUUCCGCAAUGGGCGAAAGCCUGACGGAGCAACGCCGCGUGAGGGAAGAAGGUCUUCGGAUCGUAAACCUUUGUCAUCGAGGACGAUAAUGACGGUACUCGAGGAGGAAGCCCCGGCUAACUACGUGCCAGCAGCCGCGGUAACACGUAGGGGGCGAGCGUUGUCCGGAAUUACUGGGCGUAAAGGGCGCGUAGGCGGCCUAAUAAGUCAGAUGUGAAACCCCCGGGCUUAACCCUGGGCUUGCAUUUGAAACUGUUGGGCUUGAGGACAGGAGAGGAAAGCGGAAUUCCCAGUGUAGCGGUGAAAUGCGUAGAUAUUGGGAGGAACACCAGUGGCGAAGGCGGCUUUCUGGACUGUAACUGACGCUGAGGCGCGAAAGCCAGGGUAGCGAACG
rnacentral:rRNA from 1 species